CUGCUAAGAGGAGGAAGGAAUGGGCAACGGUAGGUCAGCAUGCCCCGAAUUAUCUGGGCUACACGCGGGCUACAAUGGGUGGGACAAUGGGUAUCGACACCGAAAGGUGAAGGCAAUCUCCUAAACCCAUCCGUAGUUCGGAUUGUGGGCUGCAACUCGCCCACAUGAAGCUGGAAUCUGUAGUAAUCGUGUCUCAAAAUGGCACGGUGAAUAUGUCCCUGCUCCUU
rnacentral:rRNA from 1 species